rnacentral:rRNA from 1 species
GCGCAGCAGGCGAGAAUUUUUCUCAAUGGGGAAACCCUGAAGGAGCGACGCCGCGUGGAGGAUGAAGGUCUUCGGGUUGUAAACUCCUGUCAUUUGGGAACAAGCGUCGGUACGUAACUACUACCGGCUUGAUAGUACCAGAAGAGGAAGAGACGGCUAACUCUGUGCCAGCAGCCGCGGUAAUACAGAGGUCUCAAGCGUUGUUCGGAUUCAUUGGGCGUAAAGGGUGCGUAGGUGGCGCCGUAAGUGGGGUGUGAAAUUUCGGAGCUUAAACUCCGAAACUGCAUUCCAUACUGCGGUGCUUGAGGACUGGAGAGGAGACUGGAAUUCAUGGUGUAGCAAGUGAAAUGCGUAGAGAUCAUGAGGAAGACCAGUGGCGAAGGCGGGUCUCUGGACAGUUCCUGACACUGAUGCACGAAGGCCAGGGGAGCAAACGGGAUUAGAUACCCGUGUAGU